GGGUUGUGAGGUUAAGCGACUAAGCGUACACGGUGGAUGCCCUGGCAGUCAGAGGCGAUGAAGGACGUGCUAAUCUGCGAAAAGCGUCGGUAAGGUGAUAUGAACCGUUAUAACCGGCGAUGUCCGAAUGGGGAAACCCAGUGCAAUUCGUUGCACUAUCGUUAACUGAAUACAUAGGUUAACGAGGCGAACCGGGGGAACUGAAACAUCUAAGUACCCCGAGGAAAAGAAAUCAACCGAGAUUCCCCCAGUAGCGGCGAGCGAACGGGGAGCAGCCCAGAGUCUGAAUCAGCUUGUGUGUUAGUGGAACGGUCUGGAAAGUCCGACGGUACAGGGUGAUAGUCCCGUACACCAAAAUGCACAGGUUGUGAACUCGAAGAGUAGGGCGGGACACGUGGUAUCCUGUCUGAAUAUGGGGGGACCAUCCUCCAAGGCUAAAUACUCCUGACUGACCGAUAGUGAACCAGUACCGUGAGGGAAAGGCGAAAAGAACCCCGGCGAGGGGAGUGAAAAAGAACCUGAAACCGUGUACGUACAAGCAGUGGGAGCACCUUCGGGUGUGACUGCGUACCUUUUGUAUAAUGGGUCAGCGACUUAUAUUCUGUAGCAAGGUUAACCGUAUAGGGGAGCCGCAGGGAAACCGAGUCUUAACUGGGCGUUAAGUUGCAGGGUAUAGACCCGAAACCCGGUGAUCUAGCCAUGGGCAGGUUGAAGGUUGGGUAACACUAACUGGAGGACCGAACCGACUAAUGUUGAAAAAUUAGCGGAUGACUUGUGGCUGGGGGUGAAAGGCCAAUCAAACCGGGAGAUAGCUGGUUCUCCCCGAAAGCUAUUUAGGUAGCGCCUCGUGAAUUCAUCUUCGGGGGUAGAGCACUGUUUCGGCUAGGGGGUCAUCCCGACUUACCAACCCGAUGCAAACUACGAAUACCGAAGAAUGUUAUCACGGGAGACACACGGCGGGUGCUAACGUCCGUCGUGAAGAGGGAAACAACCCAGACCGCCAGCUAAGGUCCCAAAGUCAUGGUUAAGUGGGAAACGAUGUGGGAAGGCACAGACAGCCAGGAUGUUGGCUUAGAAGCAGCCAUCAUUUAAAGAAAGCGUAAUAGCUCACUGGUCGAGUCGGCCUGCGCGGAAGAUGUAACGGGGCUAAACCAUGCACCGAAGCUGCGGCAGCGACACUAUGUGUUGUUGGGUAGGGGAGCGUUCUGUAAGCCUGCGAAGGUGUGCUGUGAGGCAUGCUGGAGGUAUCAGAAGUGCGAAUGCUGACAUAAGUAACGAUAAAGCGGGUGAAAAGCCCGCUCGCCGGAAGACCAAGGGUUCCUGUCCAACGUUAAUCGGGGCAGGGUGAGUCGACCCCUAAGGCGAGGCCGAAAGGCGUAGUCGAUGGGAAACAGGUUAAUAUUCCUGUACUUGGUGUUACUGCGAAGGGGGGACGGAGAAGGCUAUGUUAGCCGGGCGACGGUUGUCCCGGUUUAAGCAUGUAGGCUGAUUGUCCAGGCAAAUCCGGAUAAUCAAGGCUGAGGUGUGAUGACGAGGCACUACGGUGCUGAAGUAACAAAUGCCCUGCUUCCAGGAAAAGCCUCUAAGCAUCAGGUAACAUCAAAUCGUACCCCAAACCGACACAGGUGGUCAGGUAGAGAAUACCAAGGCGCUUGAGAGAACUCGGGUGAAGGAACUAGGCAAAAUGGUGCCGUAACUUCGGGAGAAGGCACGCUGGUGUGUAGGUGAAGUCCCUGCGGAUGGAGCUGAGACCAGUCGAAGAUACCAGCUGGCUGCAACUGUUUAUUAAAAACACAGCACUGUGCAAACACGAAAGUGGACGUAUACGGUGUGACGCCUGCCCGGUGCCGGAAGGUUAAUUGAUGGGGUUAUCCGUAAGGAGAAGCUCUUGAUCGAAGCCCCGGUAAACGGCGGCCGUAACUAUAACGGUCCUAAGGUAGCGAAAUUCCUUGUCGGGUAAGUUCCGACCUGCACGAAUGGCGUAAUGAUGGCCAGGCUGUCUCCACCCGAGACUCAGUGAAAUUGAACUCGCUGUGAAGAUGCAGUGUACCCGCGGCAAGACGGAAAGACCCCGUGAACCUUUACUAUAGCUUGACACUGAACAUUGAGCCUUGAUGUGUAGGAUAGGUGGGAGGCUUUGAAGCGUGGACGCCAGUCUGCGUGGAGCCAACCUUGAAAUACCACCCUUUAAUGUUUGAUGUUCUAACGUUGGCCCCUUACCGGGGUUGCGGACAGUGUCUGGUGGGUAGUUUGACUGGGGCGGUCUCCUCCCAAAGCGUAACGGAGGAGCACGAAGGUUAGCUAAUCCUGGUCGGACAUCAGGAGGUUAGUGCAAUGGCAUAAGCUAGCUUGACUGCGAGCGUGACGGCGCGAGCAGGUGCGAAAGCAGGUCAUAGUGAUCCGGUGGUUCUGAAUGGAAGGGCCAUCGCUCAACGGAUAAAAGGUACUCCGGGGAUAACAGGCUGAUACCGCCCAAGAGUUCAUAUCGACGGCGGUGUUUGGCACCUCGAUGUCGGCUCAUCACAUCCUGGGGCUGAAGUAGGUCCCAAGGGUAUGGCUGUUCGCCAUUUAAAGUGGUACGCGAGCUGGGUUUAGAACGUCGUGAGACAGUUCGGUCCCUAUCUGCCGUGGGCGCUGGAGAAUUGAGGGGGGCUGCUCCUAGUACGAGAGGACCGGAGUGGACGCAUCACUGGUGUUCGGGUUGUCAUGCCAAUGGCACUGCCCGGUAGCUAAAUGCGGAAGAGAUAAGUGCUGAAAGCAUCUAAGCACGAAACUUGCCCCGAGAUGAGUUCUCCCUGAGACUUUAAGUCUCCUGAAGGAACGUUGAAGACGACGACGUUGAUAGGCCGGGUGUGUAAGCGCAGCGAUGCGUUGAGCUAACCGGUACUAAUGAACCGUGAGGCUUAACCUUACAACGCCGAAG
rnacentral:rRNA from 1 species